UUGCAUUAAGUAAGCUUUCCAUUCUUAUUAUGCAUUUGUUGGUUGUAAUCUUUUCGCCUCUGCUGUUCUAAUUUUGGGGUCUUUAGCAACAAUGCAUAAAAUGAAAACUAUUCAGUCGAUGAUAGUGGUCAGACAACCAUGGAUGGAUCCACAAAUGACUUGACUACAGUUUCAGUUUGUUCAUUAAUACCAUCUCAUAUAU
rnacentral:snoRNA from 1 species